rnacentral:lncRNA from 1 species
AGAUUAUUUAUAAAAAAGCUAUAUUACUGUUUAUAAUGUGAUUAUUUGUGUAAGUUAUUGUAAACAAAUGCAUUAAGGUAACUAAAAUAGAAAUUGUAAACAUUUGUCUGAAAUGGCGGUAGUGCUUAAAUGUUUUGACGUUCGAAGUGAUAUAAAUACCGGCCACUUGGUUGAUACGGGGCAUUUCGUCGUGAGCCGUCGAGCAGAGCAAUACUAAGAGACUGACAAGUUAAGUAAAUACACUUUAUUUCCUUUUAGUUUCUUUCACAAUUAAACAUUGUUUAUUAAUAUGAUGAUUAAACAUUUAAUAAUUUGGGAGUCGUACCUACGUUAGGGUAUAUACCCUAACAUAGUACAUAUUGUAUAAUAUAUAAAAGAUAAAAGAUAUAAUAAAUGUAUAACUGGUGCUAUAGUAAUGUCUAAUGCCUAAUGUUAAUGAAACAUUAUAUCAGUGGCUAUGUUUAUUGAUGUAUAUCAAUAUCAAUAUAAUAUAUGUAAUAAAUAUAUUGUAUAACAAAUAUAGUGGGCCUUGUUUCCUUGAAAACGCAUCCGCCCUUCCCUACUUGAUUACUGACGUAACGUAUUUAUCACUGAUGUCCUGAUGGUAUAAAAUGAUUGAUACAUAUGUUCGUUUGCUUAUAUAAGUGAUCUGUGUAUAAAAAUACACAAUUAUUUUAAAAUGUCUCUACUUAAAAAUCUAACAUCAGAAGUGGGAUAGAUAUCACCUCACAUACUAAUACCAUGAAGUUUUAGUUUCAGAAUCCCGUUAUUUUAGAAGUUCUCCUCAAAACAAACCGUGAGGCUGCUGCCUCAGGACAUCGACGCUCGGAGGACGACGUGACGCUCCCAGUCUUCGAUCUAGUGACUAGUAACAAUGGUACAGACAGCUGGUGUCACAGUAUCGAGGAACUGUCCAACAAAUUUGGUUGGGGAAGUAUCAAAAUCGUUGCAAAGCCUUACAGGGAUCAGUCUUAAUAUAGUUUGAGUUAUGGGAACAGCUGGGAGCAAGCCUGGGAGAACUUCCGCACGGACCUUCCGGAUUAAAUCCGGAGAAACAGAACUUGGUUGAGAACUUUCCAAAGCCGUAAUCUAUUACUCCAAUUCUGUAGAUUCUUGUUGGGUAAACGUAAAAGAAAAGAAUAGGCUGCUGCGAGAUACAAAAACAUUAAAAUGGGUUCCCUCAACAGUAAUAUACAGACUCCUCCUGAGAUUAUAUCCUUGUGUUUCAGCUACGCCCUUUAAAGCACAGCGAUCCGGGGAAUAUCUGGGUGGGGUUCUGGAAUGGAGACUAUGAAUUGGUAGCCGCAGCGCCGGACAUCCACCUACCACCACCUGCGAGGUGGACUAGAUGGUUGCUGGAUGCAGGUCGCUCCCGAUAGGUCGAUCUGGAAAUUUCUAGGAGUGGCCCAUGGUCAGCAGUGGAUAAUGGAUAUCCUGCGGCUGAUAAUUACCGUAUAGCUCCUCGUAAAAAGGAGAAAGUAAAAAUAGUCGUGGUUAUACUAGAAUUCAUAUAAUGCGUUUGCAAGUCCAGUAAUAUGUACUCUCCCUUUCAUUAAAGACCAAGCUGAUACCUUAAGCAGGAUAAGUUCUGUUUGUCAAUAGACAUGAGAAAUGUGUAUUUAUCAAAUACCAGUUUCUGGAGACUCCUUUGAAUAUAUAACCUUCUUAACCCACGAUGAUCAUAAUGAAUUUAUAAAAUGUGGAUUGGCAUCCGCAAUGGGCCAUUUCUAAAAGCCGCCUUACAUUUAACUUUCACCUGGUCUAUAGGAACGAUCCCAAAUAUUUGGUUGAAACGGUUUUGGAUUUCGCUGUCUCUGGAUUUAGGGAUUUUAAGAUCUUUUUUUGUCGAUAUUGUAGAAUACUUGGGUGAAAUAGAAAAAUCCUCCCAGCCGAAUUUUCGGCCGCGGCGGCGGAUUUCAACGGAGAUCGGUACGUAGGAGGUAUUACAAUGCACAAGUGGUUGUGCAAUACGUAGGUGCACUCUCUGUUCCUUCACUCACAGUUCGGAGAGACGACAAUCCGUCAUGACCGGAGAGGAUCAAGCGCGGAACCACCGACUUUGCGUGUUUUCCGCGGCACGGGGGUAUCCCACCGCCAACUUCCUCACUUCAAGCUGUAACUGAGUAACGUUUUCAGAUGGAAAAACCCAAUCGCAAUUAUUGCGGCCCGAACCGGGCUUCGGGUCGGCGACCCUAGCGCAGUAAUCGUACCGUGUACAAUUAAAACUGCACCCCUGGGGCAGACCGAGGCAGAAUGUUCGGUGAGGAAAACAUCGUGAGGGAAUCUGCAUACCUGAGAAGUUGUCUAUAGGAGUUUUGAGGGUGUGUGAAGUCUACCCAUCUGCACUAGGCCAGCAUGGUGGGCUAUGACUUAAUCCCUCGCAGUAGUAGAGGAGGCUCGUGCCCAGCCGUAAGACAGUACCAUAAUAUAGGGCGUUUUUCUCAUAUACCAUGAUGAGAACUACCUCUAUGAGGAAUUAUGUGAAUUAUUAUGAGGAAUAUGCCCUUGAAGAAUCUAAAAUACCUGAACAUUUUUUUGUUUUUAGCUCUAGCCGCCUUUGUUCGAGAAUAUACAUCGGAUUUUUUUUGUAUUAAGCACAAGGGGUACAAUGGUCCCAAGCAAGGCUUCCUUCACCAGAUCGAGAAAACAGAUGCUUGUUUUUGUACCAUUCACUUGGAUUGCAUAAGGCCUUUUCUCCGCUCAGAUAAAGGAUUUGGACAUAUUCUGCUAACGGACAGGUAUACUAAGUUUUGCUUACUCCAACCACCUAAAAUUCUUGCUGCUCAGGAAUUGAUACGAGGCUUACAAGAUACUAUCAGCAUACUUGGAACUUCUUCUAUAGUGAUUUCAGAUAAAAGUACUGAUUUUAGUAGGAGUCGGAUUACAUCAUUCUUUGCAGAACUAUAUAAACAUAUAACCGUAGUACUCCAAGACAUGGUGGUUAACUGGACAUGAUAAUGUCUAUUGUGACCGCUAUGCUUGGUAGUAAGAGUAUGUGUAAUGAUCAGAUUGGCCGAACGUUUUAUGGAAGGUCCACCUAUGAACAUAACGGUACUAAAAUUGACAUGUUUCUCCCUAUUGCGUAUACUUACGGGAAUAGAUGUAAAUAUACCUUCCGUUUAAGCCCAUUUAGAUAAUACACUGGAAAACAAUAUUGUACAAAAUCCGAUAGAAUCUUUUGCAAAUCGUAGCCAUAAUCUAAUUAGAUUUGUAAUCAAUGAAUUAAUGUCGUGAUGUAAGUUGGGAUUGUCAGUGUUUCCGCUGGCCGGUCAUUUGCUUGGUGCAGGUCUAUCUCACUAGCAGCGGGUGAAAGGGACUUAGCAUAUCUAGGCAAUUGGCAAAACAUGAAAGACAAUCCAAUAAAAAUGUUUCCGCUGGUCGGUCACUUGCUUGGUGUAAGUCUAUCCCACUUGCAGCGGGUGGAAGGGACUUUGCAUGUCUAGGCAAUUGGCAAAACAUGAAUGGUAAUCCAAUAAAAAAUAUUUGCGCUGGACGGUCAUUUGCUUGGUGUAUGUCUAUCCCACUUGCAGCAGGUGGAGGGGACUUGACACGUCUAGGCAACUGACAAAAGCAUUACAAAAUUAUAUACGAAGUAAUUACUGUUGUACUUGUUUAGUGUUGGUAUAUCUCAAAGCACCGAUUGAAAGGGACCAACAUGUCAAUUCGGGUACUAUGUUACUAGCUGCUAGCCACACCUUCGGGGCCAGUCGGUCUCACCGGUAGCUGGAGAAUGUGACUGGCAUAUCUAGUCGUCUGGCAAAUAAGUUCCAUCAAUAGUACGGGAAUGGCACAUGUCUAGAAAAAAAAAGGGAAGCCGACUACCAAACCUUCACUCGUUGGAAACACAACAAGAAGUAGUACUUCGGGGACGAAGUACUGUCAGUAUGGCCGUAAUAGCAUAGAUUAUUUAUAAAAAAAGCUAUAUUACUGUUUAUAAUGUGAUUAUUUGUGUAAGUUAUUGUAAACAAAUGCAUUAAGGUAACUAAAAUAGAAAUUGUAAACAUUUGUCUGAAAUGGCGGUAGUGCUUAAAUGUUUUGACGUUCGAAGUGAUAUAAAUACCGGCCACUUGGUUGAUACGGGGCAUUUCGUCGUGAGCCGUCGAGCAGAGCAAUACUAAGAGACUGACAAGUUAAGUAAAUACACCUUAUUUCCUUUUAGUUUCUUUCACAAUUAAACAUUGUUUAUUAAUAUGAUGAUUAAACAUUUAAUAAUUUGGGAGUCGUACCUACGUUAGGGUAUAUACCCUAACAUAGUACAUAUUGUAUAAUAUAUAAAAGAUAAAAGAUAUAAUAAAUGUAUAACUGGUGCUAUAGUAAUGUCUAAUGCCUAAUGUUAAUGAAACAUUAUAUCAGUGGCUAUGUUUAUUGAUGUAUAUCAAUAUCAAUAUAAUAUAUGUAAUAAAUAUAUUGUAUAACAAAUA